GGGGGUAUAGCUCAGGGGUAGAGCGCUCGCUUUGCAUGCGAGAAUUCUGGGGUUCGAUUCCCCAUACCUCCA
rfam:Necator americanus N_americanus-1.0_Cont155297.1, whole genome shotgun sequence.